CGUGUGCUCUUCAGAUAUCUCAGUUCUUUUUUGUUGUUGUUGUUUUCAACAGAAUACAAACAUAUCGAUCCUUUUUUUCCCCCAUCCUUUCCACAUUUCUUGGAAGAUCUCCUUUUAGUAAAGGUUUUUAAGCCUGUCUUAGAAGUUUUAUGAAUAAUUUAUUUCCCUUGAUGCCCUGAUACUGAACUGCUACAUAGUCUAGAACUAACAAUGGCAGACAAGAGGAGAUGGUUUCUAGGGAAAAGAGAAAGUCACAUGUUGACCUGUUUUGUACAACAGACAUACAUACUAACCAUAGCCUCUAUAAAUGACUAUACUCUUAACUUCCUCAGUGAAAUCCUAACAAAAUUACAGUUCUAUUACACAGACUUAUUAAGAUUUUUGAUCUAGAAAUAUAAAGGAAGGUGAUGUUGAG